rnacentral:rRNA from 1 species
AUUAACGCUAGCGGCAGGCAUAAUACAUGCAAGUUGAACGGCAGCACAGGUAGCAAUACUGGGUGGCGAGUGGCGCACGGGUGCGUAACACGUAUGCAACCUACCCUAUACAGGCGAAUAACCUUUAGAAAUGAGGGCUAAUACGCCGUAGUAUUACAGAUGGGCAUCUAUUUGUAAUUAAAGAUUUAUCGGUAUAGGAUGGGCAUGCGUCCCAUUAGUUAGUUGAUAAGGUAACGGCUUACCAAGACGAUGAUGGGUAGGG